rnacentral:rRNA from 1 species
UACGUAGGGGGCAAGCGUUGUCCGGAUUUAUUGGGCGUAAAGAGCGUGUAGGCGGUCUGGUAGGUCCGUUGUGAAAACUCGAGGCUCAACCUCGAGACGCCGAUGGAAACCAUCAGACUAGAGUCCGGAAGAGGAGAGUGGAAUUCCUGGUGUAGCGGUGAAAUGCGCAGAUAUCAGGAGGAACACCGGUGGCGAAGGCGGUUCUCUGGGCCUGUUCUGACGCUGAGGAGCGAAAGCGUGGGGAGCAAACAGG